rnacentral:rRNA from 1 species
GCCCCAAAAGCUAGCCCCACAGAAAAAACAACAAUCAACAUUAAUAACCCCGCAUAUAUUUGCAGUAAUUAAACAAAGCAUUUUUCCCCCUUAGUAUGGGAGACAGAAAAGGAGGCACGGAGCAAUAGAAAAAGUACCGCAAGGGAAAGCUGAAAGAGAAAUGAAACAACACAGUAAAGGUAAAGUAAGCAGAGAUUAACCCUCGUACCUUUUGCAUCAUGACUUAGUUAGUAUUUUCAGGCAAAGCGCCCUUAAUGUUUGACACCCCGAAACUAAGCGAGCUACUCCAAGACAGCCUAUCAUAGGGCACACCCGUCUCUGUGGCAAAAGAGUGGGAAGAGCUUUGAGUAGAGGUGACAGACCUACCGAGCUUAGUAAUAGCUGGUUGCCCGAGAACUGAAUAGGAGUUCACCCUUUUGACUUCUUUAACCCAAGAUAGCAAGACUUACCUAAGGCCCAAAGAAUAUCAAAAGAGCUAUUCAAGAGGGGGACAGCUCUCUUGAAACAAGAAACAACUUUAAAAGAAGGCUAAGGACCAUAAGGAAAAAGGACCCAUACCCGAGUUGGCCUAAAAGCAGCCACCCCCACAGAAAGCGUUAAAGCUCAAGUACAGAAGACCCGAAAAUUCCGACCACAACAUCCAAAGCCUCUCUAUUUAUCGAGCCCUUCCAUGCACCCCUGGAAGUGACACUGCUAACAUGAGUAAUAAGAGAGCUUACAGCUCUCUCCCGGCAGAAGUGUGCAUCAGAACGGACCCCCCACUGAAAAUUAACGCCCCCACCAAUAGAGGGCACUGGGGCACUACAACUUUUAAGCCUAGUAAUACCCCCAAAUCAAUGAGCGUUUACCCCACACAGGACUGCUUACGGGAAAGACAGAAAGAUAAAGAAGGAACUCGGCAAACACUUUUGGCCUCGCCUGUUUACCAAAAACACCGCCUCUUGCCCACACAGUAUAAGAGGUCCCGCCUGCCCUGUGACGAAAGUUUAACGGCCGCGGUAUUUUGACCGUGCGAAGGUAGCGUAAUCACUUGUCUUUUAAAUGAAGACCCGUAUGAAUGGCACGACGAGGGCCACGCUGUCUCCUUUAUCUAGUCAAUGAAAUUGAUCUACCCGUGCAGAAGCGGGUAUGCCACCAUAAGACGAGAAGACCCUAUGGAGCUUUAGACACUAGGGCAGACCAAGUUAAGACACCUAUAUUAAUGGGACUAAACCAGGAGGACCCCUGUUCAAUUGUCUUUGGUUGGGGCGACCGCGGAGGAGAACAAAACCCCCGCACGGAAUGGGUAAAACCCCUAAGACCGGGCCCACAGGCCUGGUCAGCAGAACAUCUGGCCACCAAGAUCCGGCAACGCCGAUCAAUAGACCCAGUUACCCUAGGGAUAACAGCGCAAUCCCCUUCUAGAGCUCACAUCGACAAGGGGGUUUACGACCUCGAUGUUGGAUCAGGACUUCCUAAUGGUGCAGCCGCUAUUAAGGGUUCGUUUGUUCAACGAUUAAAGUCCU